rnacentral:rRNA from 1 species
AUUGAACGCUGGCGGCAGGCCUAACACAUGCAAGUCGAGCGAUCGGCGGACGGGUGAUUAAUGUCUUGUAAACUGCCUGAUGGAGGGGGAUAACUACUGGAAACGGUAGCUAAUACCGCAUACCCUCAGAUGUGCCCAGAGUGGAUUAGCUAGUCGGUGGGGUAACGGAUCACCUAGGCGACGAUCCCUAGCUGGUCUGAGAGGAUGACCAGCCACACUGGAACUGAGACACGGUCAAGACUCCUACGGUAGGCAGAAGUGGUGAAUAUUGCACAAUGGGCGCAAGCCUGAGGCAGCCAUGCCGCGUGUGUGAAGAAGGCCUUCGGGUUGUAAAGCACUUUCAGCGGGGAGGCGUUACCCGCAGAAGAAGCACCGGCUAACUCCGUGCCAGCAGCCGCGGUAAUAC